GAUGAACGCUGGCGGCGUGCCUAAUACAUGCAAGUCGAGCGAACGGACGAGGAGCUUGCUUCUCUGAUGUUAGCGGCGGACGGGUGAAUAACACGUGGAUAACCUACCUAUAAGACUGGGAUAACUUCGGGAAACCGGAGCUAAUACCGGAUAAUAUUUUGAACCGCAUGGUUCAAAAGUGAAAGACGGUCUUGCUGUCACUUAUUGAUGGAUCCGCGCUGCAUUAGCUAGUUGGUAAGGUAACGGCUUACCAAGGCAACGAUGCAUAGCCGACCUGAGAGGGUGAUCGGCCACACUGGAACUGAGACACGGUCCAGACUCCUACGGGAGGCAGCAGUAGGAAAUCUUCCGCAAUGGGCGAAAGCCUGACGGAGCAACGCCGCGUGAGUGAUGAAGGUCUUCGGAUCGUAAAACUCUGUUAUUAGGGAAGAACAUAUGUGUAAGUAACUGUGCACAUCUUGACGGUACCUAAUCAGAAAGCCACGGCUAACUACGUGCCAGCAGCCGCGGUAAUACGUAGGUGGCAAGCGUUAUCCGGAAUUAUUGGGCGUAAAGCGCGCGUAGGCGGUUUUUUAAGUCUGAUGUGAAAGCCCACGGCUCAACCGUGGAGGGUCAUUGGAAACUGGAAAACUUGAGUGCAGAAGAGGAAAGUGGAAUUCCAUGUGUAGCGGUGAAAUGCGCAGAGAUAUGGAGGAACACCAGUGGCGAAGGCGACUUUCUGGUCUGUAACUGACGCUGAUGUGCGAAAGCGUGGGGAUCAAACAGGAUUAGAUACCCUGGUAGUCCACGCCGUAAACGAUGAGUGCUAAGUGUUAGGGGGUUUCCGCCCCUCAGUGCUGCAGCUAACGCAUUAAGCACUCCGCCUGGGGAGUACGACCGCAAGGUUGAAACUCAAAGGAAUUGACGGGGACCCGCACAAGCGGUGGAGCAUGUGGUUUAAUUCGAAGCAACGCGAAGAACCUUACCAAAUCUUGACAUCCUUUGACAACUCUAGAGAUAGAGCUUUCCCCUUCGGGGGACAAAGUGACAGGUGGUGCAUGGUUGUCGUCAGCUCGUGUCGUGAGAUGUUGGGUUAAGUCCCGCAACGAGCGCAACCCUUAAGCUUAGUUGCCAUCAUUAAGUUGGGCACUCUAAGUUGACUGCCGGUGACAAACCGGAGGAAGGUGGGGAUGACGUCAAAUCAUCAUGCCCCUUAUGAUUUGGGCUACACACGUGCUACAAUGGACAAUACAAAGGGCAGCGAAACCGCGAGGUCAAGCAAAUCCCAUAAAGUUGUUCUCAGUUCGGAUUGUAGUCUGCAACUCGACUACAUGAAGCUGGAAUCGCUAGUAAUCGUAGAUCAGCAUGCUACGGUGAAUACGUUCCCGGGUCU
rnacentral:rRNA from 1 species